GUUGAAUGUUGCCAUGUGCACGUUAUAAGAAUAGAAUUUUAUACUUUGAUUUGAAUAAAAUCUAGUUGUGUAAUGAAAGUAUUGUUUUGUGUAAAUCUGUAAAAAUAUUUGUGACACUUCUAAUCAGAGAAAUUCAGAAGUUGACACCAUUUAAUUGCUUAACAGUGCGAUAGUCAUUUUUAUCACAUUGCGCGUCCUUUUUUCAUAAUCAUAUAGUUCUUCUUUUUACGAGUGAUUAUUUGUUGUAAAUUGUCUUUGAUUGUUGACAAAUUAUCGAUUUGAAGCAUUCGAACAUCAUAACCUACAAACUGAUGAGAAUUCUCUACUACACACGAAAAAUGUCCAUUUGCAACGAUAGACUAUCGAAAAAGGACUACAUUUUAAAGUUUCCAACAUCAAAAUCUCCAAAUCGAUGAGAAUUGUCUACUACUCACGGAAAAUGUCCAUUUGCAGUGACAGACUAUCAAAAAAGGACUACAUUUUCAACUUUCCAACAUCAAAAUCUUCAAAUCGAUAUUCAAACGAACAAUGUGCAGGGACAAUCGUUCAAGAUCUCAUCGAUUCUAUCCUGGAUGGCUUGGGGUCACAGAAUUCACACAGACUUUUUAGAACUCGGUCUAUUUUUACGGUUAUUUUUCACAUUUUCUGAAUGGAAAUUUAACUUGAAAGUAGGGAUCUCCGAGGGCUAUUUAGUUUGAAAAAAUCUCCUUGCAGAUGAGAAUUCGUUAUUAAGAUCCUGAAGGGCCAUUUUUCAAAUGUCAACAACGAUAAGAAGUCUUUCGAUUCCUAAAAGAGCGAUUCUACACUGUAAAAAGAAAGUAAUAAAAUAGUACCGAUUUAAGGUAUAAAAUAAAACCAAUUAAGUACCUAAAAUCAGUAUUAAAUUAAUACCUUUCGUUUUACAGUGUAAUGCAUCAUUCUGCCUUCGCCAAUU